rnacentral:rRNA from 1 species
UGGGGAAUUUUGGACAAUGGGCGAAAGCCUGAUCCAGCAAUGCCGCGUGUGUGAAGAAGGCCUUCGGGUUGUAAAGCACUUUUGUCCGGAAAGAAAUCCUUGGCUCUAAUACAGUCGGGGGAUGACGGUACCGGAAGAAUAAGCACCGGCUAACUACGUGCCAGCAGCCGCGGUAAUACGUAGGGUGCAAGCGUUAAUCGGAAUUACUGGGCGUAAAGCGUGCGCAGGCGGUUUGCUAAGACCGAUGUGAAAUCCCCGGGCUCAACCUGGGAACUGCAUUGGUGACUGGCAGGCUAGAGUAUGGCAGAGGGGGGUAGAAUUCCACGUGUAGCAGUGAAAUGCGUAGAGAUGUGGAGGAAUACCGAUGGCGAGGGCAGCCCCCUGGGCCAAUACUGACGCUCAUGCACGAAAGCGUGGGGGAGCAAACAGGAUUAGAUACCCUGGUAGUCCACGCCCUAAACGAUGUCAACUAGUUGUUGGGGAUUCAUUUCCUUAGUAACGUAGCUAACGCGUGAAGUUGACCGCCUGGGGAGUACGGUCGCAAGAUUAAAACUCAAAUGAAUUGACGGGGUCAUA